rnacentral:lncRNA from 1 species
UUUCUCCCCGCAGGAGGAAGCACGUGGCCGCCCUGCUGGAUGUGCGGGGUCUGCGCAGCCCUGCGGCCCGGCAGGAGAUCCUGGGGGUCCUCCAGGAUGUGGGGACGGGGGAGGCCGAGGCGGGACCCCCCCCCCGGGAAAGGGCUUUCUUCUCCGAGCUGCCCGUUGCGCGGCGGCCGCGCUGCCUCCCCUUCGAUCUGCAGCGCCUGGCCAGGCUGCGGCUGAGGGGGCUGCGACCCGAACGGCCCAAUGAGGGGAGGCUCAACUCUGUGGUCCUCCCGCAACUCUGUGGUCCUCCUACAGCUCUAUGGUCCUUCUACAGCAACUCUAUGAUCCUCCCACAGCAACUCUGGGGUCCUCCCGUAGCAAUUCUAUGGUCCUCCCGCAAUUCUGUGGUCCUCCCACAACUCUAUGGUUCCCCCACAGCAACUCUAUGGUCCUCCCGCAACUCUAUGAUAUCCCCGUGCUCCGGCCACGCCCCCUUCAGCCGCGCGCCCGUUUACGACAUCGCCCUCCUCUCUUUACGACGGCAGCGCUCGGCGGCCCCGCGGUUGCCGGGGGCGCUUUACGGCCCGGCGAUGGCGGAGGGCGAGCGGGCGGAGAGCGGCGACGGUCCCGGGCGGCCCCCGAGCCCCGGUGGGCAGCAGCGGGCCGAGGCCGAGGCUGAGGCGGAGGCCCUGAAGACGCGGGCGAACGAGUUUUUCAAAGGGAAGGAUUACGAGAACGCAGUGAAGUUCUACAGC